rnacentral:lncRNA from 1 species
AAAUGAAAUAAAACUCGGCAGCUUAUAUAAGAAUCUCAUUACAAUUUCGGGCAAUACGAAGGUGGAGAUGAAGCUUAGUACUCAGUUUUUGGAGAAGGUGAGUACGAUGGUGGUGGUGGAGAACUGUAGACAUAUGGUGGUGGAGGAGAUUUGUAGUCUACCUUAGGUGAAGGUGAGUAGUAUGGUGGUGGUGGUGAGCUGUAGACAUAUGGUGGUGGAGGUGAUUUGUAGUCAACCUUAGGGGAAGGUGAGUAGUAUGGUGGAGGAGGUGAACUGUAAACGUAUGGUGGUGGAGGUGAUUUGUAAUCAACCUUAGGGGAAGGUGAGUAGUAUGGUGGAGGAGGAGAACUGUAGACGUACGGUGGUGGUGGUGAUUUGUAGUCAAUCUUAGGAGAAGGUGAGUAGUAUGGUGGAGGAGGUGAACUGUAGACGUACGGUGGUGGAGGAGAUUUGUACUCUACCUUAGGGGCAGGUGAGUAGUAUGGUGGUGGUGGUGAACUGUAGACGUACGGUGGUGGAGGAGAUUUGUACUCUACCUUAGGCGCAGGUGAGUAGUAUGG